rnacentral:rRNA from 1 species
CACGUAGUUAGCCGGGGCUUCUUCUGCAGGUACCGUCUUGAUUCGUCCCUACUGAAAGGGGUUUACAACCCGAAAGCCUUCAUCCCCCACGCGGCGUUGCUGCGUCAGGCUUUCGCCCAUUGCGCAAGAUUCCCCACUGCUGCCUCCCGUAGGAGUCUGGGCCGUGUCUCAGUCCCAGUGUGGCUGAUCGUCCUCUCAGACCAGCUACCCGUCGAUGCCUUGGUGGGCCGUUACCCCACCAACUAGCUGAUAGGCCGCGAGGCCCUCCCGAAGCGGAAUCCAUUUCCUCGUCCGAUCAUGCGAUCAGAAGGGGUAUCCGGUAUUAGCUCUCCUUUCGGAGGGUUAUCCCGGUCUUCGGGGCAGGUUCCUCACGUGUUACUCACCCGUUCGCCACUAGGUCUUCCGAUGUGUUGCCACACCAUGGACCUCGUUCGACUUGCAUGUGUUAGGCACGCCGCCAGCGUUCGUCCUGAGCCAGGAUCAAACUCU